GAUGAACGCUGGCGGUCUGCUUAACACAUGCAAGUCGAACGGAAUCUUUCGGGAUUUAGUGGCGGACGGGUGAGUAACGCGUGAGAAUCUGCCUUCAGGUUCGGGACAACAGUUGGAAACGGCUGCUAAUACCGGAUGUGCCGAGAGGUGAAACUUAAGUGCCUGGAGAUGAGCUCGCGUCUGAUUAGCUAGUAGGAGUGGUAACGGCACCCCUAGGCGACGAUCAGUAGCUGGUCUGAGAGGAUGGUCAGCCACACUGGGACUGAGACACGGCCCAGACUCCUACGGGAGGCAGCAGUGGGGAAUUUUCCGCAAUGGGCGCAAGCCUGACGGAGCAAGACCGCGUGAGGGAAGAAGGUCUGUGGAUUGUAAACCUCUUUUGAUAGGGAAGAAGACAGUGACGGUACCUAUCGAAUCAGCCUCGGCUAACUCCGUGCCAGCAGCCGCGGUAAUACGGAGGAGGCAAGCGUUAUCCGGAAUUAUUGGGCGUAAAGAGUCCGUAGGUGGGUCACCAAGUCAGUUGUUAAAUAGUGAAGCUUACUUCAUAGAGGCGACUGAAACUGGUGGUCUAGAGUGUGGUAGGGGUAGAGGGAAUUCCAGUGUAGCGGUGAAAUGCGUAGAUAUUGGAAGACACCGGUGGCGAAAGCGCUCUACUGGGCUGCACUGACACUGAGGGACGAAGGCUAGGGGAGCGAAAGGGAUUAGAUACCCCUGUAGUCCUAGCCGUAACGAUGGAUACUAGGCGUUGCCCG
rnacentral:rRNA from 1 species